rnacentral:rRNA from 1 species
UGGGGAAUUUUGGACAAUGGGCGAAAGCCUGAUCCAGCAAUGCCGCGUGUGUGAAGAAGGCCCUCGGGUUGUAAAGCACUUUUGUCCGGAAAGAAAUCCUUGGCUCUAAUACAGUCGGGGGAUGACGGUACCGGAAGAAUAAGCACCGGCUAACUACGUGCCAGCAGCCGCGGUAAUACGUAGGGUGCAAGCGUUAAUCGGAAUUACUGGGCGUAAAGCGUGCGCAGGCGGUUUGCUAAGACCGAUGUGAAAUCCCCGGGCUCAACCUGGGAACUGCAUUGGUGACUGGCAGGCUAGAGUAUGGCAGAGGGGGGUAGAAUUCCACGUGUAGCAGUGAAAUGCGUAGAGAUGUGGAGGAAUACCGAUGGCGAAGGCAGCCCCCUGGGCCAAUACUGACGCUCAUGCACGAAAGCGUGGGGAGCAAACAGGAUUAGAUACCCCGGGUAGUCCANGCCCCUAAAACGAUGUCAACUAGUUGUUGGGGAUUCAUUUCCUUAGUAACGUAGCUAACGCGUGAAGUUGACCGCCUGGGGAGUACGGUCGCAAGAUUAAAACUCAAAUGAAUUGACGGGGUCAUAGCUGUUU